rnacentral:rRNA from 1 species
GGGCUCGCAGGCGGUUUCUUAAGUCUGAUGUGAAAGCCCCCGGCUCAACCGGGGAGGGUCAUUGGAAACUGGGAAACUUGAGUGCAGAAGAGGAGAGUGGAAUUCCACGUGUAGCGGUGAAAUGCGUAGAGAUGUGGAGGAACACCAGUGGCGAAGGCGACUCUCUGGUCUGUAACUGACGCUGAGGAGCGAAAGCGUGGGGAGCGAACAGGAUUAGAUACCCUGGUAGUCCACGCCGUAAACGAUGAGUGCUAAGUGUUAGGGGGUUUCCGCCCCUUAGUGCUGCAGCUAACGCAUUAAGCACUCCGCCUGGGGAGUACGGUCGCAAGACUGAAACUCAAAGGAAUUGACGGGGGCCCGCACAAGCGGUGGAGCAUGUGGUUUAAUUCGAAGCAACGCGAAGAACCUUACCAGGUCUUGACAUCCUCUGACAACCCUAGAGAUAGGGCUUUCCCUUCGGGGACAGAGUGACAGGUGGUGCAUGGUUGUCGUCAGCUCGUGUCGUGAGAUGUUGGGUUAAGUCCCGCAACGAGCGCAACCCUUGAUCUUAGUUGCCAGCAUUUAGUUGGGCACUCUAAGGUGACUGCCGGUGACAAACCGGAGGAAGGUGGGGAUGACGUCAAAUCAUCAUGCCCCUUAUGACCUGGGCUACACACGUGCUACAAUGGACAGAACAAAGGGCUGCGAGACCGCAAGGUUUAGCCAAUCCCAUAAAUCUGUUCUCAGUUCGGAUCGCAGUCUGCAACUCGACUGCGUGAA